rnacentral:rRNA from 1 species
AUUGAACGCUGGCGGCAUGCCUUACACAUGCAAGUCGAACGGUAACGGGCCUUCGGGUGCCGACGAGUGGCGAACGGGUGAGUAAUGCAUCGGAACGUACCUUUCAGUGGGGGAUAACGUAGCGAAAGUUACGCUAAUACCGCAUAUUCUGUGAGCAGGAAAGCGGGGGAUCGCAAGACCUUGCGCUGAUUGAGCGGCCGAUGUCAGAUUAGCUAGUUGGUGAGGUAAAGGCUCACCAAGGCGACGAUCUGUAGCGGGUCUGAGAGGAUGAUCCGCCACACUGGAACUGAGACACGGUCCAGACUCCUACGGGAGGCAGCAGUGGGGAAUAUUGGACAAUGGGCGAAAGCCUGAUCCAGCCAUGCCGCGUGUGUGAAGAAGGUCUUCGGACUGUAAAGCACUUUAAGUUGGGAGGAAGGUCUGUAAGCUAAUAUCUUGCAGUCUUGACGUUACCAACAGAAUAAGCACCGGCUAACUCUGUGCCAGCAGCCGCAGUAACAC